CUUUCUUUUCUUUCUCCUCUGUGAUAACAAUCUUCUAUCUCGGGCAUCCAUGAUAUCUUUUUUACUUAAUCUUCAACGAUAAUCUUUUGAAGAACAUCCAUGGCGUCUGCCCAAUGACUUGGAAGAUAUUCCACCGCUGUUGUUGGAUGCCACUGUCAAAUAAUUUUCCCUAUUUGAUGGAAGGACGGAGGUAGGAAGACACUUGAUUUCAAGUUGGGUGCGGUGAUGCCGAUGACUUCAUUGGAAAAAAGCUAGGUGUGAUGAAACUGACGAUGAGAAUUCAUGAAGUAUUUAAGCUCAAAAAGACAAUUAUUUAGGAU